CAGCUGAAGUCGAAGUAUCUUAGUUCGACUUACCUGGCUGUCCUCACAGAGGCAAGUCGACUGCUGCGGCUCCCCUAUGGAGGUGGAGUCCAGG